rnacentral:rRNA from 1 species
UACGUAGGGGGCUAGCGUUGUCCGGAUUUAUUGGGCGUAAAGAGCGUGUAGGCGGCCAGGUAGGUCUGCUGUGAAAACUCGAGGCUCAACCUCGAGAUGUCGGCGGAAACCAUCUGGCUAGAGUCCGGAAGAGGUGAGUGGAACUCCGAGUGUAGAGGUGAAAUUCGUAGAUAUUCGGAAGAACACCAGUGGCGAAGGCGGCUCACUGGUCCGGUACUGACGCUGAGGUGCGAAAGCGUGGGGAGCAAACAGG